rnacentral:ncRNA from 1 species
GGAAGAUCAUCAACCAAAAGUUACCCCGGGGAUAACAGGCUGGUAGGGCCCGCGAGUCCAUAUCUACGGCCCUGUUCGGCACCUCGAUGUCGGCUCAUCACAUCCUGGGGGGGCAGCACCUCCCAAGGGUUUGGCUGUUCGCCAAUUAAAGUGGUACGUGAGCUGGGUUCAGACCGUCGUGAGACAGGUUGGUCUCUAUCUACCGCAGGCGUUGAGUUUUGAAGAGAUUCGUUUCUAGUACGAGAGGACCGAAACGAACUAACCUCUGGUGUACCAGUUGUCCUGCCAAGGGCAUCGCUGGGUAGCUAAGUUGGGAACGGAUAAGCGCUGAAAGCAUCUAAGCGCGAAACCGCCUCUAAGAUGAGAACUCGAAGAUCCCUCGAAGAUGACGAGGUAAUAGGCUUUAGGUGGAAGCUCCGCGAGGAGUGAAGCCAAGAAGUACUAAGGAUCAUCGCAAUCGAAAU